rnacentral:misc_RNA from 1 species
AAUUCGCCCUUUGUACACACCGCCCGCCACACCAUGGAAGUUGGUUUCGCCCGAAGUCGUUACUCCAACCGUUCGCGGAGGAGGACGCCGAAGGCAGGGCUGAUGACUGGGGUGAAGUCGUAACAAGGUAGCCGUACCGGAAGGUGUGGCUGGAUCACCUCCUUAGAGGGAGACCUACCCAUUUUAGAGUGCAGUUAUUAGUAUAAGCGGUCAAGAUGGAGUCAACCGAGGUCGAGCGGAGUUUAGCCUGAUAGAGAUUUGAUUGCAGGCUAGACGAAUAGGUUUUAUGGAGUUGGUUUUCAAACUAUGAUUCUGGGUUUAGGGGCUAUUAGCUCAGGUGGUUAGAGCGCACCCCUGAUAAGGGUGAGGUCCCUGGUUCGAGUCCAGGAUGGCCCACUUGUGGGGGUAUAGCUCAGUUGGUAGAGCGCCUGCUUUGCAAGCAGGAUGUCAGCGGUUCGAGUCCGCUUACCUCCACCACUGUUAGAGGAGGGAGAGGUCAGCCCUCUGUCGUUUAGGCUACUGAGAGAAGUAGUGAGAAGAUAGAGUGCUGGGCUUGGAGUU